UGGGGAANUUUCCGCAAUGGGCGAAAGCCUGACGGAGCAAUACCGCGUGAGGGAGGAAUGCCUUUGGGUUGUAAACCUCUUUUCUCAGGGAAGAAGAUCUGACGGUACCUGAGGAAUAAGUAUCGGCUAACUCCGUGCCAGCAGCCGCGGUAAUACGGAGGAUGCAAGCGUUAUCCGGAAUCAUUGGGCGUAAAGCGUCCGCAGGUGGUUUCCAAAGUCUGCUGUUAAAGACUGGAGCUCAACUCCGGAACGGCGGUGGAAACUUGGAAACUAGAGUUCGGUAGGGGUAGCAGGAAUUCCCAGUGUAGCGGUGAAAUGCGUAGAUAUUGGGAAGAACAUCGGUGGCGAAGGCGUGCUACUGGACCGUAACUGACACUCAGGGACGAAAGCUAGGGGAGCGAAAGGGAUUAGAUACCCCUGUAGUCCUAGCUGUAAACGAUGGAAACUAGGUGUGGCUUGA
rnacentral:rRNA from 1 species